rnacentral:rRNA from 1 species
UACGUAGGGGCCUAGCGUUGUCCGGAUUUAUUGGGCGUAAAGAGCUCGUAGGCGGUUCGGUAAGUCAGGUGUGAAAUCUCCACGCUCAACGUGGAGGCGCCACCUGAAACUGCCGUGACUCGAGUCCGGUAGGGGAGACUGGAAUUCCUGGUGUAGCGGUGAAAUGCGCAGAUAUCAGGAGGAACACCGGUGGCGAAGGCGGGUCUCUGGGCCGUAACUGACGCUGAGGAGCGAAAGCAUGGGGAGCGAACAGG